rnacentral:rRNA from 1 species
GACGAACGCUGGCGGCGUGCUUAACACAUGCAAGUCGAACGGAAAGGCCCUGCUUUUGUGGGGUGCUCGAGUGGCGAACGGGUGAGUAACACGUGAGUAACCUGCCCUUGACUUUGGGAUAACUUCAGGAAACUGGGGCUAAUACCGGAUAGGAGCUCCUGCUGCAUGGUGGGGGUUGGAAAGUUUCGGCGGUUGGGGAUGGACUCGCGGCUUAUCAGCUUGUUGGUGGGGUAGUGGCUUACCAAGGCUUUGACGGGUAGCCGGCCUGAGAGGGUGACCGGCCAAAUUGGGACUGAGAUACGGCCCAGACUCCUACGGGAGGCAGCAGUGGGGAAUAUUGCACAAUGGGCGGAAGCCUGUUGCAGCAACGCCGCGUGCGGGAUGACGGCCUUCGGGUUGUAAACCGCUUUCGCCUGUGACGAAGCGUGAGUGACGGUAAUGGGUAAAGAAGCACCGGCUAACUACGUG